rnacentral:tRNA from 1 species
UGCGUUAUAGCAUAACGGGUAUUGCAGUUGUUUGCAAAACUUCUUGUAUAGGUUCAAGUCCUAUUAACGCAU